AAAUUAAGGAGGGUAGAAUGUUGAAUUGCAAUGUGCUACUGAGGAUCCUCUUUGCACCCUUCAAGAAGCAUUCGAGAAGGAAUACAAGAUCCAUGGUACUUGCAAAGUGUCAGCUAAUGGUGUACUUACAGGGUAUGUGCUUUGCUACAAGUUGCGCAACAUCGGGCUCAAAGCUAGAAAAACUGAUAGUUUCCUUGGCAAACUCAAAGAUUACCUCUGAAUCGCUGUGCUACUUUUCUAUGAUUUCUUUUCUUAACUCCCACCAUCAGGACCGCUGGCACAUGUGUUAGAACUAUCAGUUUUUCCUAAAUAUUUCAAGUGACAUGGCUGGAGUUUUUCUUAUGCAAAUGUGUUAGACCUACAUUCCA